rnacentral:rRNA from 1 species
UACGCAGGGGGCUAGCGUUGCUCGGAAUCACUGGGCGUAAAGCGCACGUAGGCGGACUCUUAAGUCAGGGGUGAAAUCCUGGAGCUCAACUCCAGAACUGCCUUUGAUACUGGGAGUCUUGAGUCCGGAAGAGGUAAGUGGAACUGCGAGUGUAGAGGUGAAAUUCGUAGAUAUUCGCAAGAACACCAGUGGCGAAGGCGGCUUACUGGUCCGGAACUGACGCUGAGGUGCGAAAGCGUGGGGAGCAAACAGG